rnacentral:tRNA from 1 species
GCGGCUAUGGUCCAACGGUAAGACUUCUGACUUCCACUCAGACGAUGAGAGUUCGAUUCUCUCUAGUUGCU